rnacentral:ncRNA from 1 species
CGUCUUCAGGGCGGGGUGAGAUUCCCCACUGGCGGUACAGUCCGCGACCCGCGCGCACCCGCGCGGCUGACCCGGUGAGACUCCGGGACCAACGGUUACAGUCCGGAUGGAAGAAGAU